UACGGAGGAUGCGAGCGUUAUCCGGAUUUAUUGGGUUUAAAGGGUGCGUAGACGGGCUUUUAAGUCAGCGGUAAAAAUUCGGGGCUCAACCCCGUCCGGCCGUUGAAACUGGGGGUCUUGAGUGGGCGAGAAGAAGGCGGAAUGCGUGGUGUAGCGGUGAAAUGCAUAGAUAUCACGCAGAACCCCGGUUGCGAAGGCAGCCUUCCGGCGCCCUACUGACGCUGAGGCACGAAAGUGCGGGGAUCGAACAGG
rnacentral:rRNA from 1 species